rnacentral:rRNA from 1 species
GGGGGGGGGGGGGGGCGGGGCUGGGGGGGGGGGGGCGGGCGCGGGGGCGGGGGGGUGGCGCCGUUGGCGGUGGCGGCGGACGGGGGAGGCGCACGUGGGGACCCUACGUGUAGGACUGGGAUAACUACGGGCGACCGGCGCUCACACCGGCUAAUCUUUCUAACAGCUUGGUUCGAUCGUACCAGAGUGCUUUGCUAUCACUUAUAGCUGGACCUGCGCCGUAUUAGCUAGUUGGUAAGUUCCCUGCUUACCAAGGCAACGAUACGUAGCCGACCUGAGAGGGUGAUCGGCCACACUGGAACUGAGACACGGUCCAGACUCCUACGGGAGGCAGCAGUAGGGAAUCUUCCGCAAUGGGCGAAAGCCUGACGGAGCAACGCCGCGUGAGUGAUGAAGGUCUUCUGAUCGUAAAACUCUGUUAUUAGGGAAGAAUAAACGUGUAAGUAACUGUGCACGUCUUGACGGUACCUAAUCAGAAAGCCACGGCUAACUACGUG